rnacentral:rRNA from 1 species
UACGAAGGGGGCUAGCGUUGCUCGGAAUCACUGGGCGUAAAGCGCACGUAGGCGGGUCUUUAAGUCAGGGGUGAAAUCCUGGGAGCUCAACUCCAGAACUGCCUUUGAUACUGAGGAUCUUGAGUUCGGGAGAGGUGAGUGGAACUGCGAGUGUAGAGGUGAAAUUCGUAGAUAUUCGCAAGAACACCAGUGGCGAAGGCGGCUCACUGGCCCGAUACUGACGCUGAGGCACGAAAGCGUGGGGAGCAAACAGG